GGAGAAGCGAAGGAGGAGCCACCUGCGCGCCGAGCCCGUUCGCCCGGCCGCCCGCAGCCAGGCGCGGUGGCCAACUCCGCCCCGGGCCGCGGGCGCAGCCGACGGGAACACGCCCCCUCAACUUUUUUAUUUUUAAACAAUCUCAAACCCUCAGAAAAAUUGCAAAUUUGAAGCCUCUUUCCUGAAAUCUGCAAAUUUAGAGAGAGACAUUACACAAUGAGGAAUGGCAUCCUGAUCUUACCCUGUUUGAAAGGAAACCAAUGGAUAGAUUGAAUACUUCUUUUCCCACUAACAUUUAUCAUUGAUAACCAUUCCCUUCUUCUCAAAAGUUGUUCCCUGGCUCCCAAAAUAUCCAUUCUCUCCUCACUCUUUGCUUACUACUUGGGCUCCUUCAUGGUUAUCUUCCACCAACUCCUUAAAUGUGGCAGUUUCUAAUGUCACAGAUGCUUCCUUUCUCCCUAAGGGGAGAAGUUAAUCCCCAGCCGGUCUAUUCAAUAAAAUCCUUAAUUAUUA
ensembl:lncRNA novel transcript